CCUCUUACCCGGUCGGCCAUCUUGGCCGUGUCACGUGACCCAGCGGGCGAGCGGGCGCGGCUGGGCACCGCCUUUCUCUUUGGUUUGCCGGAUUCGACUUCCUCACUGCCAAGCCUUCCUUCCGCUUCAAGAGUUGUCAGAGUGGACAUUUGGCCAUACCUAACUUCAAGCGUGUGGGGAACUGCGGUCCCACCAUGUACCUAGAAGAAGAACCAGACCUGGAGGUGACCAAGGCUCAUGACUUCCACCUAGGCUGGAGUGCAAUGGCGCAAUCUCGGCUCUCCGCAACCUCCGCCUCCUGGGAUCAGGCAAUUCUCCUGCCUCAGCCUCCUGAGUAGCUGGGAUUACAGGCAUGCACCAACAUGCCCAGCUAAUUUUUUGUAUUUUUAGUAGAGACGGGGUUUCACCAUGUUGACCAGGAUGGUCUCGAUCUCUUGACCUCGUGAACCACCGUGCCUGGCCUAUGUUUUAAAAUUAUACCAUGUUGAGGGUGAUGACUGGCAUAUAGACUAUGAUGGUUUUUAUUUUGUAUGCUGAAGUAUUUUGAUAGGACCAGAAAUGUUACAGAAAUAAAGAUCUUAAAUAAAAUAUAAUAAGUUGAUAUAUAUGUAUACUAUUUGAUUCUAUUGGCUAUAUUUUGUUUUACAUCAGUGAUCAUAAGUAAAAUAUGGUUUUAUAAUUUAAUUAAUUAAUUAAUUUUUGUUUUUGAGAUGGAGUCUCGCUCUGUGGCCCAGGCUGGAGUGCGGUGGCGAGAUCUGGGCUCACUGCAACCCCUGCCUCCUGGGUUCAAGCGAUUCUCCUGCCUCAGCCUCCCGAGUAGCUGGAAUUACAGGUGCGUGCCCCCAUGCCCAGCUAAUUAUUUAAUUUGUAGUAGAGACGGGGUUUCACCAUGUUGGUGAGAAUGGUCUCAGUCUCCUGACCUAGGGGUCCGCCCACCUCAGCCUCCCAAAGUGCUAGGAUUACAGGCGUGAGCCACCGCACCCACCCUAUAAUUUUAUUUUUUGUGUUCAUCUUAUCUGAUUUGAGAAUUUAAAAUUCUAGUUACAUAAGAUGAAUUGGAUAAUUUUUAUACUUUUUCUAUUUUUUUGUACAGCGCACUAUCCAGUAGAAAUAUAAUGUAAAACACAUGCAAUUUAAUGUUUGUAGUAGCGACUUUAAAAAGCAAAAAGAAGUAUGUGAAAUGAAUAAUUCAAUAUAUCCAAAGUAGUGUCGUUUAAAUAUGUUAUCAACAUAAACAUGAAUGAAAUAUCUCACCUUCUAUUUUUGCACUAAGUUUUUGAAAUCUGGUAUUUUAUAUUGAUAUUAUUUCUGAAUUCAGACACUAAAUUUUCAUAAAUACGUGGUUUGUAUUUAGGUUUUAUAAAAUUUACACUUCAAAAAGUAGAUUCACAUACGCGAAUCGUUUCAAACAUACCUGAAAGUUUUCUAAUAGGAUCUCUCCGCCCAAGCGUCUCGCCCCGCUCUCGCCCUGCGGACUCCGCCCUGACAGCAGCCUGCGAAGCACUGUCGUCCCGGGAAAGGGCACCUCCGACGGAAGCGCAGAGUCCCCGGGAGGCGCCGGAAGCCGGAGGAGGGCGGGAAGGCGCCGGAAGCCGGAGGAGGGCGGGGGGGAGGGGCCGAGGAAGGCGAGGGAGGUGAGGGGGGAUAAGGAGAGGCGAGUGGGCGAGUGGGGCCGAAUGGGUCGAGCGGCAGAGUCGCCAGCAGCGUGAGAGCGUCGCUCCUCCUGAAGGCCCUCAGGCGAAAUGACCAGCGCUGACAAAGAGCAGGAUGCAGAGGGCUCCUCUGGAGUGACUUUGGAGAGGAGAUUACCCUUGGGAAGCUCCAGUUCGGAUCCGCGUCCACAGACCCGGCGACCUCACACAGACUGGGCGUCCGGGGAGGAGGUGGUGGCUGUGAGCAACAUAGUGAGGAAACCCGGCUCCUGCUACCCCCAGGUCUUUAGCCGGGACCCCAGGGCAUCUGGGAGCAGGCCUGCGGCAGGGACCAGCAUACUCUGGACGGGGCCUCUGCCUUUCUGGGGUCCUCCAGUUGAAGAAGGAUGCGAUGUGCAAUAAACCCACCCUGUUGACCUCAAAAGCAGCGGGGAGCCCCAGGCACAUGAGUGGGGAGGGGGACUUUGACCUGGCUCCCGUGCAUCUACCCACCUGCGUGAAUUGCCAGGUGCAGGACGAGCUUGAGUGGACGCUGGGUUCUCAGAGCCCCUUGAGGCUCCUGUACGUGGGCUACCUGUGCCGCCUCGGGCAACCCAGAGAAACCCUUCCUCCUGCCAGAUAUUAGAAGGAAAAACAUUCCAUGCUCAUGGUUAAGAAGAACCAGUAUCAUGAAAAUGGCAAUACUGCCCAAAGUAAUUUAUAGAUUCAGUGCUAUCCCCAUAAAGCUACCAUUGACCUUCAUCACAGAACUGGAAAAAAACCACCUUAAACUUUAUGUGGAACCAAGAAAGAGCCCGCAUAGCCAAGACAAUCCUAAGCAAAAAGAACAAAACUGAAAGCAUCACACUACCUGACUUCAAACUAUACUACAAUGCUGCAGUAAUAAAAACAGCAUGGUACUGGUACCAAAACAGAAGUAUAGACCAAUGGAACAGAACAGAGGCCUCGGAAGUGACACCACACAUCUACAACCAUCUGAUCUUUGACAAACCUGACAAAAACAAGCAAUGGGAAAGGAUUCCCUGUUUAAUAAAUGGUUUUGGGAAAACUGCCUAGCCAUAUGCAGAAAGCUGAAACUGGACCCCUUCCUUAUACCUUAUGCAAAAAUUAAGUCCAGAUGGAUUAAAGAUUUAAACAUAAGACCUAACACCAUAAAAACCCUAGAAGAAAACCUAGCAAUACCAUUCAGGACAUAGGCAUAGGCAAGGACUUCAUAACUAAAACACCAAAAGCAAUGGCAACAAAAGCCAAAAUAGACAAAUGGGAUCUAAGUAAACUUAAGAACUUCUGCACAGCAAAAGAAACAAGCAUUAGAGUGAACCAGCAAUCAAUAGAAUGGGAAAACAUUUUUGCAAGCUACCCAUCUGACAAAGUGCUAAUAUCCAUGUUAUUCUAGCCUCUUGUUCUGAAGAAACAUGAAUUUCAUGUACAAACAUGGAUUUUGCAUGUUUUAAAUUGUAAAUGAGGCUUAAUCCAAGAAACUUGGAACGUGAAGCAGCCUCGAAUUUAGUCAUGCCCCACCAUCCUCCAGGGUAAGCUGAGGAGCAGAGUUAAUUGGUUUUCCACAGGUAUUUGCCACUUGUCAGAUGGGCUGUUCUGGAUGUAACCACGUAAUUCCUGGGACCCACUGAGAGUCAGCUUCCUUUACAGGCAUCUAACAAGGUGUGCUCAGAGCCAAACACCUUGAAGAUCUUCAUGGAAACAAUUUUUGGCCUUUUAUCAAGAUGUCAUUCAGGGCUCUGAGCUGUCAAACACGUUGAAUUGAGCUGUUAGGUGGAUGGGUUUGAUGUAAGUUUACGGUAUGCAUUUGGUACUUGUCAAUAGAGCAAGUCAUGAUAUUGCAAAAGUAAAGAAAACCUUCUUUAAAAAAGACAAGUGGCUGGGUGUGGUGGCUUACACCUGUAAUCCCAGCACUUUGGGAAGCUAAGGCGGGUGGAUCAUGAGGUGAGGAGUUCAAGACCAGCCUGGCCAGCAUGGUAAAACCCUGUCUCUACUAAAAAUACAAAAAUUAGCCAGGCAUGGUGGCAUGCGCCUGUAGUCCCAGCUACUUUGGAGGCUGAGGCAAGGGAUUUGCUUGAACCCAGGAGGCAGAGGUUGCCGUGAGCCGAGAUCCUACCACUGCACUCCAGCCUGGGUGACAGGGCAAGACUCCAUGUCACAAAACAAAACAAAACGAAAGAAAAAAAAAGAAAAGCAGGGCCGGGCACAGUGGCUCACGCCUAUAAUCCCAGCACUUUGGGAGGCCGAGGUGGGUGGAUCACGAGGUCAAGAGAUCAAGACCCUCCUGGUCAACAAGGUGAAACCCCGUCUCUACUAAAACUACAAAAAUUAGCUGGGUAUGGUGGUGCGCACCUGUAGUCCCAGCUACUCGGGAGGCUGAGGCAGGAGAAUUGCUUGAACCCAGGAGGUGGAGGUUGCGGUGAGCCGAGAUCAUGCUAUUGCACUCCAGCCUGGGUAACAGUGAAUCUCGGUCUCAAAAAAAAGAAAGAAAAAAAAGCAGUAUGAGCUCAAACAGUAUCCACCAGUGACACUUUUAAAAGUUCAUGGCUCAAAUCUUCCUCACCUGUUGCCUCUCUCAUCCCCAGUAUUCUUCAUUCCUCAGAAUGAGCCUCCCUGGGGCCUCUGAGGCUCCCUCACAACCGGGCUCAGUUAUCUCCCCUGGCUGGAAGAACACAGAAACUGUGUCGCACUCUGCUUGGUGCCUCCCUCCAGGGCCCAUAUUUGUUACCUGUCCCAGCCCCGGUGAUGUCAUCAUUCAUGGCCUGGUGGGGUGGCAUCUGCCAGACCCAUCCACCUUCAAUUUACAAGGGGGACUUUACUCUGAAUAGAAUUUUGUGGGGAGAUAGUGUAACACAAUGUGUAUUAGCUCUUUCUUAUCUAACUAGCUGGUCAGUUCCUAUCUGUGUCUAUUCAUCUAUCUACCAUCUAUCUAUCUAUCUAUCUUCAUAUAAAAAAAAAAUUCCUCAAUCAGUACAUUAUUCAAUGAGCUGCAUUUUGUUACAAUCAUUUAUUUUCAUGCUUCUUAGCCAGAUUUGGGAGGUGGAGACUUCUAAAGCACUCUCUCUCUCUCUCUCUCUCUCUCUCUCUCUCUCUCUCUCUCUCUCCCUCUCUUUUAAGAUGGAGUUUCACUCUUGUUGCCCAGGUUGGAGUGCAAUGAUGUGAUCCUGCCUCACUAUAACCUCUGCCUACUGGGUUCAAGCAAUUCUCCUGCCUCAGCCUCCUGAGUAGCUGGGAUUACAGGUGUGCGCCACCAUGCCCAGCUAAUUUUUGUAUUUUUAGUAGAGACAGGGUUUCACCAAGUUAGUCAGGCUGGUCUUGAACUCCUAACAUCAGGUGAUCCACCCACCUCAACCUCCCAAAGUGCUGGGAUUACAGGUGUGAGCCAUCAUGCUCGGCCAGCUCUCAUAUUUUUACGCAAGGCAUUCUAGGCUCCUCCUUCACCAUUCCAGGUGCGAUGUUGUUAGCAGCAACUUCAUCGAGAUAUGUGAUUCCUUCUCCCAGAGUGUGCUAUGAAGAAUUUGAGAUCCAGUAUUACCUGUGGUCAUUUCAUCUGACUUGAGGACAAUAAACCCCACCCACUGAGGGCCUCUUUUCCAAAAGAGGGAAGCUUUGGAGACAGAAGCCAUGCCCACUUUCCAAAUACAAGGGCUUCUCAAGACAGGUCAAGCAGACAGGAUGUUGGCUUGGUUCUUAAACUGCUCAGCUGCACCACAUUCUGGGGACCAUGGCAAGAAUCUCCCCUUGGCAGUGCAUUCUUUGGGUCAACAUCCCUCCUUCCCAGUGCCAGAUUCAGCACCGCCUGCAUGUGAAGCUACAUAAGCCAGGAGCUCCAGGUCCUGCCACCUGGUGGCAUCAGCGACAGAGCUGAAGUUCCUACUUUCCUCCUGCCUCUAUGUGGCCUAAAUUUCACCAACACUACUGAAAAUGCAACUAUGAAGUACUUAGUGACAGAUCACAGUUUGCAGAAUUUUCAUAGGAUUGUGUCAGGCAGGAACUCUGUGUCAGUUCUGGGAUUUUCUGGAACUUAGAGUCCUGAAAAUCAAGAGUUUGGGCAGCAUAAGGUUCCUACAAGUUUCAAACUCCAUCGAUGAUUCCGAAGGAAAGCUUAUAUCGAGUUCCUAAUAUCUGUAACACAAGGAAAUGACUUUGAAAAAGUCUUCAUGAGCACCAAAAAAAUGCUGUCAUCAAGAGUAAUCAGCUGUGUGAUAGGAACACUGGAUGGAUGCAGCACUGUGGAAAGCCAGAAAGACAAUGAAGGGCAAAUGAAGUGCCUGGCUGGUCAAACACUACCCUAGGCAGACUCCACUGUCCAUAGACUCUGAAGCACUGCCAAUGGCCAAGAUGAGCACAGACAGAGGAAAGAGAACAAAUCAUUCUCAUGCUUGUGGUCGCAGCACACGCCUUCCACUUUCAGAAUGUGCUCAUGCAUUUUUCCUUUUCUUUGUUACAUACAAGUUCAUCCUGGCAUUUGUAUGUGGUUCAGCCUCUAACAUUUAGUUAACCACACAAGUAGUAAGAGCCAUUCAAAAUAUUUAUUUUAUUCAUACACUCAGUAAUAUACAGUAUAAGUCACAACAAACAAGUAAGCUAAAAUACAAUUUGAAAUUUAAGUCAGAGGUCUCUCUCAUUUUUUUUUCUGUGACGGAGUUCUUUCUUGUUUCCCAGCCUGGAGGGCAAUGGUGCGAUCUUGACUCACUGCAACAUGCACCUCACAGGUUCAAGUGAUUCUCCUGCCUCAGCCUCCCAAGUAGCUGAAAUUACAGACGUGCACCACCAUACCCGGCUAAUUUUGCAUUUUUAGUAGAUACGGGGUGUCAUCAUGUUGGUCAGGCUGAUCUCGAACUCUUGACCUCAAGUGAUCCACUCACUUAGGCCUCCCAAAGUGCUGGAAUUACAAGGCAUGAGCCACUGCACUCAGCCUAUCAAAUGAUUAAAAAUCAGUUUAUUACAGUAUUUAAUAUUAAAAAUGUAAUAUUUAAAAAAGUAGUAGAGGCCCGGCAUGGUGGCCCAUGCCUGUAAUCCCAGCACUUUGGGAGGCUGAAGUGUGUGGAUCACAAGGUCACAUGUUCAAGACCAGCCUGACCAACAUUGUGAAACCCCACCUCUACUAAAAAUAAAAAAUUAGUUGGGUGUGGUGGCACCUGCCUGUAAUCCCAGCUACUAAGGUGGCUGAGGCAGGAAAAUCACUUGAAACUGGGAGGUGGAGGUUGUAGUAAGCCGAGACUGUGCCACUGUAUUCCGGCCUGGUGACAGAGCGAGACUCCAUCUCAAAAAAAAAAAGUAGCUAGAGACUAUAAUAUUACAACUUAUGACAGACUAAAAAAUCCAUUUUAUUGUCCAUGACACUUUAUAAUAAGAAAUUUCAUUAACUAUAAGAACACAUUUUUUCUAUAGAUUUAUAUUUCCUUCCCAGAUUUUCUUAUAUGAAUUGCUAUUUUGGAUAUUUUACAGUAGAGGUAAAUGAGCCGGAUGUGGUGGCUCACGCCUGUAGUCAGCACUUGGGGAGGCUGAGGUGGGCGGAUCACGAGGUCAGGAGUUCAAGACCAGCCUGGCCAACAUGGUGAAACGGUGUCUCUACUAAAAAUACAAAAAAUUAGCUAGGCAUUGUGCAUGCCUGUAAUUCCAGCUACUUAGGAUUCUGAGGCAGGAGAAUUAAUUGAACGCGGGAGGUGGAGGUUGCAUCGAGCUGAGAUUGCACCACUGCACUCCAAUAUGGGUGACAAAGUGAGACUCUUUCUCAGAAAAAAAUAUAUUAACAGUAAAUAAAAUAAUAAUACUUAAUUACAAUUUGUUGGAUCUACUAAAAGAACUAGAGAAGCAAGAGCGAACAAAUCCCAAAGCUAGCAGAAGAUAAGAAAUAACCAAAAUCAGAGCUGAACUGAAGGAGACAGAGACACAUUACAAAAAAACAUUCAAAAGAUCAACGAAUCCAGGAUCUGUUUUUUGAAGAAAAAAAAAAUACAUAGACUUCUAGCUAGACUAAUAAAGAAAAAAGAGAAGACUCAAAUAUUAACACAAUCAAAAACAGUAAGGAGAAAAUUACCACAGACCCCACAGAAAUACAGACAACAAUCAGAGAAUAUUAUAAACACUGUAUGCACAUAAACUAGAAAAUCUAGAAGAAAUGAAUAAAUUCCUGGAAACAUACACUAUCCCAAGACUGAACCGGGAAGAAAUUGAAUCCCUGAAUGGACCAAGAACAAGUUCUGAAAUUAAGGCAGUAGUAAACAGCCUUACUAACAAAAAAAAGAAGCUCGGAAUCAGAUAGAUUCACAGCUGAAUUCUAUCAGAUAUAGAAAGAAGAGCUGGUACCAUUCCUGAUGAACUAUUUCAAAAAAUUGAAAAGGAGAGAUUCCUUCCUAACUCAUCCUAUGAGGCCAGCAUCAUCCUGAUACCAAAACCUGGCAGAGACACAACAGAAAAAGAAAACUUUGGGCCAAUAUCCUUGAUGCAAGAAUCCUCAACAAAAUACUAGCACAUCUAAUCCAGCAACACAUCAAAAAGCUCACCGAUCAUGAUCAAGCAGGCUUAUUUUCUGGGAUGCAAAAUUGGUUCAACAUCUACAAAUCAAUAAAUGUGAUUUAUCACAUAAACAGAACUAAAGACAAAAACCACAUGAUUAUCUCAAUAGAGGCAGAAGAGACUUUUGAUAAAAUUCAACAUUUUUUCAAGUUAAAAGCACUCAAUAAACUGAUAUUGAAAGAACAUGCCUCAAAAUAAUAAGAGGCUUAUAUGUAUGACAAACCCACAGCCAACAUCAUACUGAAUGGGCAAAUUCUGGAAGCAUUCCCCUUGAAAACUGGCACAUGACAAGGAUGCCCUCUCUCACCACUUCUAUUCAACAUAGUAUGGGAAUUUCUGGCCAGAGCAAUCAGGUAAGAGAAAGAAAUAAAGGGCAUCCAAAUAGGAAGAGAGGAAGUCAAACUAUCCCAGUUUGCAGAUGACAUGAUUCUAUAUCUAGAAACCCCAUCAUUUCAGCCCAAAAGUUUCUUAAGCUGAUGAGUAACUUCGGCAAAGUGUCAGGAUACAAAAUCAAUGUGUAAAAAUUGCUGGCAUUCCUAUACGCCAACAACAGUCAAAGUGAGAGCCAAAUCAUGAAUGAACUCCCAUUCACGAUUGCCACAACAUGAUGAAAAUACCUAGGAAUAUAGCUAACUAGGGAGGUGAAAGAUCACAAGGAAAACUAUAAGUCACUGCUCAAAGAAAUCAGAGAAGACAUAAACAAAUGGAAAAACAUUCCAUGCUCAUGAAUAGGAAGAGUCAAUAUCAUAAAAAUGACCACACUCCCCAAAACAAUGUAUCGAUUCAAUGCUAUUCUCAUUAAACUAUCACUGACAUUCUUCACAGAAUUAGAGAAUACUACUUUAAAAUUCAUAUGGAACCCAAAAAUACCCCAAAUAGCCAAGGCAGUCCCAAGCCAAACCAACAAAGCUGGAGGCAUCAUGUUACCUAACUUCAAACUGUACUACACUGCUGCAGUAACCAAAACAGUGUGGUACUGCACAAGAGUGGAAGCAUAGACCAAUGGAACAGAAUAGACCAAGAUCAGAUAGCAAAGACUACACACCUACAGCUAUCUGAUCUUCAACAAACACGAUAAAAACAACUAAUGCGUAAAGGAUUCUCUAUUCAGUAAAUGAUGCUUGGAUAACUAGCUAGCCAUGAGCAGAAGAUUGAAACUCAACCCCUUCCUUACACCAUAUACAAAAAUUAACUCAGAAUUGAUUAGAGACUUAAAUGGAAAAAAACCAAAACUAUAAAAACCCUGGAAGACAACUUAGGAAAUAUCAUUCAGGACGUGGCCUGGGCAAAGAUUUUAUGAUGAAGAUGUCAAAAGCAAUUGCAACUAAAGCAAAAAUUCACAAAUGGGAUAUAACUAAAGAGUUUUGGAUAGCAAAAGAAACUACCAACAGAGUAAUCAACCUACAGAAUGGGAGAAAAAUUUGCAAAUUGUGUAUCUGACAAAGGUCUAAUAUCCAGCAUCUAUAAGAAACUUAAACAAAUGUACAAAAAAAGCAAAUAACCCCAUUAAAAAGUGGGCAAAGGACAUGCAGAGAUACUUUUCAAAAGAAGACAUACAUGUAGCCAACAAUCAUAUGGAAACAAUUUUAACAUCACUGAUCAUUAGAGAAAUGCAAAUCAAAACCACAAUAAGAGACUGUAAAUUAAUUCAACCAUCAUGGAAGACAGUGUGGUAAUUCCUCAAAGACCUAAAGCCAGAACUACCAUUUUAUCCAGCAAUCUCAUUACUGGGUAUAUACCCAAAGGAAUAUAAAUCAUUCUGUUAUAAAGGCACAUGCAUGCAUAUGUUCAUUGCAGCACUAUCCAUGAUAACAAAGAUUUGGAAUCACUCUAAAUGUCCAUAUAUGAUAGGCUGGAUAAAGCAAAUGUGGUACGUAUACAUUAUGGAAUACUAUGCAGCCAUAAAAAGAAGAGUAUCAUGUCCUUUGCAGGGGACACGGAUGGAGAUGGAGGCCGUUAUUCUUAGCAAAUUAAUACUGGUACAAAAAACCAAACACUGUGUGUUCUCAUUCAUAAGCGAGAGCUAAAUGUGGGUAAAUGUGAAGAUAUGAGAUUCACUGACAAUGCUGAAAAAUGAAAGGCAUCACCAAAAGUGUGCAGAUGUAGCUAUCCUUGAGUCAGACAAAAUAGACUUUAAGUCAAAAAACACAAAAAGAAACAAUAAAGAUUAUAAAAUAAUUAAGAGAUCAAUUCUGGAAGAAGACAGAAUAUUAAAUACAUAUGCACUCAACUCAUGAACAUCAGUUAUCAAAGUAAAUAUGAUUAAAGCUAACGAUAAACCCAAAGGCAAUCACAGCUGGGGGCUUUAACACCCAGUUUCAGCACUGGAAACUCCUCUAGGCAGAACGUCAACCAAGAAGUUUCAGACUUAAACUGCAACAUAGACCAAAUGGAUCCGACAGAUAAUUACAAAACAUUUCAUUCAACAACUGAAAAAUUUACAUUUUUCUCAUCAGUACAUGAAACAUUCUCCAGGAUAGACCACACUAAACAAAUCUCAAAAAGCAUUUUUAAGGGCUGGGUGCAGUGGCCCAUGCCUAUAAUCCCAGCACUUUAGGAGGCCGAGGCGGGUGGAUCACGAGGUCAAGAGAUUGAGACCAUCCUGGUCAACAUGGUGAAAUCCCAUCUCUACUAAAAAUACAAAAAAAAAAAAAAAAAAUUAGCUGGGCAUGGUGGCGUGCGCCUGUAGUCCCAGCUACUCAGGAGGCUGAGGCAGGAGAAUUGCUUGAACACAGGAGGCGGAGGUUGCGGUGAGCUGAGAUCGCAGCAUUGCACUCCAGCCUGGGUAGCAAGAGUGAAACUCCACCUCAGAAAAAAAAAAAUGUGUUUUUAAAAUGGAAAUCAUAUUGACUAUUCUUUCAGAUGAAAAUGUCAUACAACUGAAAAUCAAUAACCAUAAGAACUAUGGAAACUGUACGAAUACAUGAUAUUUAAAUAACAUGCUCCUGAAUAACCAUUGGGUCAGUGAAUAAAUGAAAAAGGAAAGCAAGGCAUUUCCUGAAACAAAUGAAACUGGAAACACAAUGUAAAGAGAACUUAGGGGAUACAGCAAAAGCAGUACUCAGAGGGAAGUUUUGUAGCAAUAAGUGCCUACAUCAAAAAAGUAGUAAGAUGGCCGGGUGCAGUGGCUCAUGCCUGUAAUCCCAGCACUUUGAGAGGCCAAGGUGGGUUGAUCACUUGAGGUCAGGAGUUCAAGACCAGGGCCUGGCCAACAUGGUGAAACCCCAUGUCUAAUAAUAUAAAAAGUAGCCAGGUGUGGUGGCGUGCACCUGUAAUCCCAGCCACCAGGAGGCUAAAUCACGAGAAUUGCCUGAAGCCAGAAGGUAGAGAUUGCAGUGAGCCAAAAUCACACCAUUGCACUCCAGCCUGGGCAACAAAGUGAAACCAUGUCACCAGAAAAAAAAAAAAACGUAAAAAGAUUUCAAUUGAACAACCUCACAGUGCACCUCAAAGAAUAUGAAAAGCACACACACACCCCAAAAUUUGAAGAAGGAAAGAAACAAGAUCAGAGUAGAUCCAAACAAAAGAAAGGCUAAAAAGGACAACAAAAGAUCAAUGAACAAGUUGUUUUUUUAAAAAAAGAUUAAAAACUUGAGAAAUGAUUAGCUAGACUAACAAAAUAAGAGAAGGACCCCCCCCCCCCGCCGCUCCCUGCCCCGCUGCCAAAUAAAACCAGAAACAAAAAAGCAGACAUUACUACUGAUAACCCAGAAAUACAAAAGCUCAUGAGAGACUCUUAUGAACAACUCUAUGCCAGCACCUGGAGAAACCUGCAGGAAACGGACAGAUUCCUGGGUAAACAGAACCUACCAAGAUCUAACCAGGAAGAAGCAGAAAAUCUGAACAGGACAAUAACGAGCAACAAGAUUGAGUCUGUAAUAAAAUCUCCCAACAAAGAAAGCUCAGCACUGUAUGCCCUUACUGCUGAAUGCUAUCAAACUUUUAAAGAAGAACUAACAUCAGUUCUUCUCCAAGGAUCCCAAAAAAACGAAGAGGAGGAAAUUCUUCUUAUGCAUUUCAUGAGGUAAGCAUUACCCUGAUACCAAAACCAGACAAGGACACAACAAAAAUAGAUAUUUCUGAUGAACAAGGUGCAAAAAUCAACAAACUACUGCCAAACUGACCUCAAGAACACAUCAGAAAGAUAAUUGUGCAUGAUUGAGUGGGAUUCAUCCCAGGUAUGCAAGGAUGAUUCGACACACAUCAUUCAAUACAACACACCACACCACACCACAUCAGUAGGACGAAGGACAAAAUCCAUUCAAUCAGCUCCACAGAUGAAUACAAAGCAUUUGAUAAAAUUCAAUAGAACUUCAGCAUACAACCCCCAAGAAACUGUGUAUGGAAGAAACAUACUUCAAAACUAUAAACACCAAACAAUCUCUGACAAACCCAGAACUAAUAUCAUACUGAACAGUAAGGAGUUCAAAGCCUUUCCUCUAAGAUUGAGAACAAGACAAAGACAACCACUUUUAUUCACUAUAAGUCUUAGCAAGAGGAAUUUGACAAGAGAAAGAAAUAAUAGGUGUCCACAUUGGAAAGGAAGAAGCUAAAUUGUCCUUGUUUGCAGAUGACAGGAUCUCACAUUUAGAGAAACCUAGAGUCCACCAAAAACUGUUGAAACUGACAAGCAAAUUCAGUCAAGUUACAGGAUCCAAAAUCAACACACAAAAACAAGUAGUGUUACUGUACAAAAAUAGUGAACAUUCUUAAAAAAGAAAAAAAAAAAAAACAA